rnacentral:rRNA from 1 species
GCAUGCAGUCGAACGAAUCCCGGGGGGGUAACUCUCCGGGGGAAGUGGCCAAUUGGGCAGUAAGGCGUGGGUAACCUACCCCGGGGACCGGGAUAGCCAUCCUAACGGGUGGGUAAUACCGGGCGAUGUGGCGCUCCUGCCUGGGAGGGCCACGAAAGGAAUUUCGCCUCGGGAGGGGCUCACGUGGUAUUAGCUGGUUGGUGGGGUAACGGCCCACCAAGGCCGAGAUGCCUAGCAGGUGUGAGAGCACGACCUGCGCCACUGGCACUGAGACACUGGCCAGACUCCUACGGGAGGCUGCAGUCGAGGAUCUUCGGCAAUGGGCGCAAGCCUGACCGAGCGACGCCGCGUGCGCGAUGAAGGCCUUCGGGUUGUAAAGCGCUGUCGAGGGGGAGGAAGACCCGCAAGGGUUUGACCUAGCCCUGGAGGAAGCACGGGCUAAGUUCGUGCCAGCAGCCGCGGUAAGACGAACCGUGCGAACGUUGUUCGGAAUCACUGGGCUUAAAGGGCGCGUAGGCGGCGCGCGGGGUCAGGGGUGAAAUCUUUCGGCUCAACCGGAAAAGUGCCUCUGAUACCGGCGUGCUCGAGGGAGGUAGGGGCAUGUGGAACUUCCGGUGGAGCGGUGAAAUGCGUUGAUAUCGGAAGGAACGCCGGUGGCGAAAGCGACGUGCUGGACCUCUACUGACGCUGAGGCGCGAAAGCCAGGGGAGCAAACGGGAUUAGAUACCCCGGUAGUCCUGGCCCUAAACGAUGGGUACUGGGUAGUGGACUUGACAUGGGUUCACUGCCGGAGCAAAAGUGUUAAGUACCCCGCCUGGGGAGUAUGGUCGCAAGGCUGAAACUCAAAGGAAUUGACGGGGGCUCACACAAGCGGUGGA